UACGUAGGGUGCGAGCGUUGUCCGGAAUUACUGGGCGUAAAGAGCUCGUAGGUGGUUUGUCGCGUUGUCCGUGAAAACUCACAGCUCAACUGUGGGCGUGCGGGCGAUACGGGCAGACUGGAGUACUGCAGGGGAGACUGGAAUUCCUGGUGUAGCGGUGGAAUGCGCAGAUAUCAGGAGGAACACCAAUUGCGAAGGCAGCUCGCUGGGACGUAACUGACGCUGAGACGCGAAAGCGUGGGGAGCAAACAGG
rnacentral:rRNA from 1 species